UGAGGAACACCUCAAUGGUUCCAUAUUUGGCUGUUGGGAAUUCUGCUGUUAUAAACACGGACAUGCAUGUGAUCGCUAAUUUUUCAGGAUAAAUACCAAGGAACAGUACAGCUGGGUCAUAUGGUGGGGUAGCUGGGUCCGUGCCUGUCCUUUUGAGGGACUUCCAUGCUGAUUUCCAGUGGUUGUGCUAAUGAACAGUCCCCCACAGAGUGAAGUGUUCUUUUUGUGUCCCUCCUCCCCAGUGUUUAUUAUUACUGGGAUUCUUGCCAUUCUGACUGCGAGCCUUACCGCUCUCUUGACUCCUGGGUACAGAUCUCUUUCCCAAGGAACUUGUGAAAACAAGCACCGCAUGUAGUCUAACUCGCAGCACCCAUGGCCUAGCUCCCACCCAGUGGUUGGCCAGGGCUGCUCCUAGCCUAGCUCUACCUUGGCUGCCCUUCUGUGGGUGUUGGGAAGAGGGUGGGGACAUGGCCACUGGCACUAGAGAGUCAGGAGGUGACAUAUCAGGACAGACCUUUCUCAUGGCUACCUUCUCACCCACACCCUGCCUUGUCAGGACUCUGCCCUUUGCUUCUGGGAGUGCACACAGGAGGGAAUGGCUGCUGCAGUGCCAUCUGCCACGUGCCAGGUAAGGAGGACCUCAUGUUUCUUUUCCCAGUGCUGGGGAUGAGCCCAGGCCUACACAAGCGCUGUACUCCUGAGAUACUUCCUUCGCCGGGGACUUUAGUGUUUCUGGAGUACACUAACAAGUCUCCAGAAUGUCACCACUUGUCUUUCUCUCUCCUGGAACUUUUGGUCAGCCCCCACCAGGUGGACCAAGCACUCCACAGGGAGGACUUCCCUGAGGUGUCCUUCAAUGUCCAUCUCUUGUCUCAAGCCUGGUCCCCUUGCACCCGACCCCUGCAGCUGUAGCUCUGAGUGGUCUGUCUAGCAGCUGACAGCUCAGGGCCAAGGGGAAGAUUGGGAGCAGUCUUGGCUCUACCCCGCCCGUCCAGGAGCGUAUCCACACAUGCACUGAGAGUGGGCCCCAAUGUUCCAGGGGGUGCUGG
rnacentral:lncRNA from 1 species